CAUUAUUGGAGGCAUAGUUCCUUUUAGGAAGCAACUGAUGUUACACUUAAUUCUCUGAUACAGAAUCCAUUUUUUCAUUUCCUGUAAGUACUCUGUUCAAAAUGGCUUUCUCUUUUCAUGGAAGACCAAGGAAGUGCAAAUGUCCACACACUGUUGCGCAUUUUGUGGCAUGAGCUCAUGAAUACCCACUUAUCCAGUUUUGACACAUUACAGGCAUCUAUGGGAUCUUGGUUAAUAGCUGAAUGGGGUGAAUGGACAAUUAUGGCCGAUUACUUGACUGUUGCUUCUGGAUUCCCCUCACUAGUAACUCUAAGUACAUCAUUACCUAGUUGAACAAGUCUUCUUUUGCAUGGCAUAUAUGUGAAAGUCCUGUUCUCUAAUGGAAUUUCUGGAACCAUCUUUGACACUGACAUUCAGAAUACUCUGUUUGUAUGGUAU
rnacentral:lncRNA from 1 species